rnacentral:rRNA from 1 species
GUCGAGCGAAUGGAUUAAGAGCUUGCUCUUAUGAAGUUAGCGGCGGACGGGUGAGUAACACGUGGGUAACCUGCCCAUAAGACUGGGAUAACUCCGGGAAACCGGGGCUAAUACCGGAUAACAUUUUGAACUGCAUGGUUCGAAAUUGAAAGGCGGCUUCGGCUGUCACUUAUGGAUGGACCCGCGUCGCAUUAGCUAGUUGGUGAGGUAACGGCUCACCAAGGCAACGAUGCGUAGCCGACCUGAGAGGGUGAUCGGCCACACUGGGACUGAGACACGGCCCAGACUCCUACGGGAGGCAGCAGUAGGGAAUCUUCCGCAAUGGACGAAAGUCUGACGGAGCAACGCCGCGUGAGUGAUGAAGGCUUUCGGGUCGUAAAACUCUGUUGUUAGGGAAGAACAAGUGCUAGUUGAAUAAGCUGGCACCUUGACGGUACCUAACCAGAAAGCCACGGCUAACUACGUGCCAGCAGCCGCGGUAAUACGUAGGUGGCAAGCGUUAUCCGGAAUUAUUGGGCGUAAAGCGCGCGCAGGUGGUUUCUUAAGUCUGAUGUGAAAGCCCACGGCUCAACCGUGGAGGGUCAUUGGAAACUGGGAGACUUGAGUGCAGAAGAGGAAAGUGGAAUUCCAUGUGUAGCGGUGAAAUGCGUAGAGAUAUGGAGGAACACCAGUGGCGAAGGCGACUUUCUGGUCUGUAACUGACACUGAGGCGCGAAAGCG